rnacentral:rRNA from 1 species
CGUAGGUAACCUGCCUGGUAGCGGGGGGUAACUAUUGGAAACGAUAGCUAAUACCGCAUAACAGUAGAUGUUGCAUGACAUUUACUUUGAAAGGUGCAAAUGCACCACUACCAGAUGGACCUGCGUUGUAUUAGUUAGUUGGUGAGGUAACGGCUCACCAAGGCGACGAUACAUAGCCGACCUGAGAGGGUGAUCGGCCACACUGGGACUGAGACACGGCCCAG